rnacentral:rRNA from 1 species
UACGGAGGGUGCAAGCGUUAUCCGGAUUCACUGGGUUUAAAGGGUGCGUAGGAGGGUAGGUAAGUCAGUGGUGAAAUCUCCGGGCUCAACUCGGAAACUGCCGUUGAUACUAUCUGUCUUGGAUACCGUGGAGGUGAGCGGAAUAUGUCAUGUAGCGGUGAAAUGCUUAGAUAUGACAUAGAACACCAAUUGCGAAGGCAGCUCACUACACGAGCAUUGACUCUGAGGCACGAAAGCGUGGGGAUCAAACAGG